GUCGGUGAGUGGCUGGGUCUGGGGUUGGGCAGAUGAAAACCUAACGCACGCACGCACAUGGCCUUCCCCCUCCCUCACUUUUACUCCCUCCUGGCCGCCGCCGCCGCUCCUCCUCUUCCUCCUCUCUCCCGUAGCAGAUCCACCUCCCCUUCCUUUUAUUCAUCCUCCACGCGACCAUCGACGAUGCGUGGUUCUAGAUCGGACGUCUCCAUGGAGAGCAGGGAUGAAGAAGCAGUACAGGCCUGCGGUGGGGCGACCCGAACCGAGGAGAACUCGGCGACAGGGAAAAGAAGCAGCAGUGGCAGCGCUUGUCUCGGUGGGGUGGAGCUGCUCGGAAGAUGGAAGGGGACUGUCGACUUGCGGGACGAGCAGGCCGGCCCUUGUUCGCCCUAGAGACACUUCCGACGCCGCAAGCCAGGGCAGCUCGACCACAGAAGCCCGCAGGAGCAGUAAACCAUGGAGGAUUUGGAGGCUGCUCACGUUUGUAACAGUAAACCAUGGAGAAUAUGGGGGAUGCACGACCUUAGAGCAGCAAACCAUGUCAGGCAAGGUAAAAGCAACACACAGUCAUACUGCUCAAACCAUGGAUGUUUGGGAAUUUUUUCUUAAGAUCUAUAUGAUUUUUGUCUGAAUAGUUAAAGUAUUUCUUUGGACUACUUUGAUUCUCUGAAAAAAUUGUGAGAAGUAAGAUGGUUGGCUUCUCAUGUAGAACUCAAUUUACAGUUACUAUCAUUUUUUUAAUUGCCACUGUUUUCCCUUUUCAAUUUAUAACAAGAUAUGUGCUUUUAUCAGGUUUACACAAAAAAGAUUCAGGAAAUCUAGAUUGGGGGAGCAACAAAAAGCUUCAGAUGUGUAAACUAAUAUAUACGUUCCAUAACUUUUUUGUGUUUGCAGCAUAGUCUAGAAAUUUAGUGUAGAGAAACUAAAAUAGUUCAAGAUAAAAAGGUUGUUGUACAAAACGAAUUGUUUGUCCCCGUUUAUCUUGUCAUUUUGUUACAAAUGAAAACAUAGUCGGGAAAAAUCAUGGAACGGUUUCUGUCAUGAAGCAUGAGAAUGAUAGUACCUGAAAUUGCGAGAGCUGGCCUUCUAUCUUUUUUUACAAGUACUCUGUUUUUCGUAGCUAAUAAUGAUGGUUGCAGCUUAUAAUUACUGAACUAUCCGGCGUGGUGUGGGCAUGUUGUAAUUACAUCCUUCGAUAUUUCUGUGCAAUAUUUGGUUCAUUUGGUAUUCAUAAAUUUAUUUAUGUCCAAUAGGAAGGAAGAUGCAUGAAGUUCCUGUUUUCUUGGGUGACCUCAGUUUCCUAAUGAUAUCUUCAUAGCAUACAGAUGGUUGCCAAUUAGCUUAUAUCAGUUUCCUAAUAAUAUCUUCAUAGCAUACUUUUUUGGGAUAAUGGUGACCAAAACGCCCCGGUUUCUCUAAUUUGUAGGAAUGAAAAUCUUGAAUUGCUUUUGAUGGAUUUCUCACUCAUCAAAAUAAAGCCACCAGCCUUCACAUAGAGGUUGAUUAAUCACUUUGGCCAGUCGUUCUGUUUUUCUAUGUUGCGGAAUAGGAAUGUCGUAUGAUCAUUUAUUUCCUCUGCGUCAUUUUAAGUUCUACAUCUUAUCUCUUAUUAUGAUAAAUCAUCAAUAUCAUACGUCUAUUACUCUUCCUGAUUCUACAUAUUGUUUUCAGUCAUAGAUUUAGAGUGUUUUUUUUCAUGUUCUUGCAAAGCAGAUGUGUUUAAAAAACUAUAGCUAUUUUACUGCUUUUCGGAUGCUAUGAAAUGCUUAUACUAAAUUUCACAAAUAUGUUCAUGUCUUUCUAUAUUUAUACAAUGUAUGUUGUGUUGCUCAAUGCUCGCUACCUCUGGUAUUAAUCUCUCUUGCAUUCCUUUACUAAUACCAUUAUCUUGUGCUUCUAAAUACCACAAUCUGAUCAAAGCCUUACGCCUCUGCAAAAUGGCGAGGUCUUCAUGGCACUAAAAUCUGGUAUUUACCUCCAUUUUCUGCCGUCAACUGUUAAUGAAAGUAGUACGAUGCCUAAUUUUGCCUUCUGUCGAUUUUUUUUCUUAAGGUAACUCUAAACUUAGGUUGAUGCCUUCGCUAACUUUAAUUUUGUGUCCUGAUGCUAUGGCCUAAUUUUUUCUAUUGUCCUUGAGCACCCCGUAGCUAAUAUAAUGUGAAUAGGAGUUUAGUUUGCUACUUAUACAGCAAUAGAUCCAUUUUUGUAGCUGCCAGAUAGUAUUCUUCCUGUCUCAUUAUGUCUUUUUGCUUCAUAUUCAGGGUCAAACUGGGCUAUAUUUCUUUCAUUGAGGCGAGGGUGAUUCCAGCAGGUGAGGCGCAAUUUAGACAUCUGGAUGAUGUCUUGCUAUGUCCAGGUGGUACCAUGUCUGAAUUAAGAUUUCCCUUGCUGAUUUUGCUUGGCGUACUCGCCUUUUUUCUUGAAGUUGGGCGUCAGUCGUCUCUGCGGCAAGAGUACCCGCCAUUCUGGAGGCCUCGCGCGCGCCAUGGUUGAGGUGUGUGGACGGCGUGGAUGGGAUCGCGCGGUUGGUCAAGG